AAACCAGCACCUCAAGUGGUCAGGAUGAUUAUUGGGCCUAAAGCAUCCGUAGCCUGCUCUGUAAGUUUUCGGAUAAAUCUGUAUGCUCAACAUACAGGCUGCCGGGAAUACUGCAGAGCUAGGGAGUGGGAGAGGUAGACGGUACUCGGGAGGAAGUGGUAAAAUGCUUUGAUCUCUCGAUGACCACCUGUGGCGAAGGCGGUCUACCAGAACACGUCCGACGGUGAGGGAUGAAAGCUGGGGGAGCAAACCGGAUUAGAAACCCGAGUAGUCC
rnacentral:rRNA from 1 species